UACUAAGUGUUGGAGGGUUUCCGCCCUUCAGUGCUGCAGCUAACGCAUUAAGUAAUCCGCCUGGGGAGUACGACCGCAAGGUUGAAACUCAAAAGAAUUGACGGGGGCCCGCACAAGCGGUGGAGCAUGUGGUUUAAUUCGAAGCUACGCGAAGAACCUUACCAGGUCUUGACAUCUUCUGCCAACCUAAGAGAUUAGGCGUUCCCUUCGGGGACAGAAUGACAGGUUGUCGUCAGCUCGUGUCGUGAGAUGUUGGGUUAAGUCCCGCAACGAGCGCAACCCUUAUUACUAGUUGCCAGCAUUCAGUUGGGCACUCUAGUGAGACUGCCGGUGACAAACCGGAGGAAGGUGGGGACGACGUCAAAUCAUCAUGCCCCUUAUGACCUGGGCUACACACGUGCUACAAUGGAUGGUACAACGAGUUGCGAAACCGCGAGGUUUAGCUAAUCUCUUAAAACCAUUCUCAGUUCGGACUGUAGGCUGCAACUCGCCUACACGAAGUCGGAAUCGCUAGUAAUCGCGGAUCAGCAUGCCGCGGUGAAUACGUUCCCGGGCCUUGUACACACCGCCCGUCACACCAUGAGAGUUUGUAACACCCAAAGCCGGUGGGGUAAC
rnacentral:rRNA from 1 species